rnacentral:rRNA from 1 species
GCAGGCUGCAACUCGCCUGNAUGAAGUCGGAAUUGCUGUAAUCGCAGAUCAGCAUGCUGCGGUGAAUACGUUCCCGGGCCUUGUACACACCGCCCGUCACACCAUGGGAGUCGGUAACACCCGAAGUCGGUAGUCUAACCGAAAGGAGGACGCCGCCGAAGGUGGGAUUGAUGACUGGGGUGAAGUCGUAACAAGGUAAC